ensembl:lncRNA
AUGGCGGCCGCUCGCUAUCCCUCUGAUGUUUACGGAUGGGAAACCAACUACUCAAACCCGUUCAUGUCAGUAACCAAUGUAGAGGACAGCAGUCACGGUACUGUGAAAGCUUAUGAACGCACGGCGGAGAGAAAACACAAACAUUAUAACCCAUUCCUGUGUGAUGAAAGUUGCACUAACACGCUUGCUAAUGGAGAAGAUCUGUUCGUGCCUUUCGACAGCCCCGCCCAUUUUUCGCCCACAAAUCCUUUUUGCAGAGGCAACAGUCAAAGCCAUGGCUCCGUGGGAAGGCCAGACAGUCACAUUUUCGCAUAUCCCGCUCCAGACAUGCCAUUUAAGGGGCACUAUGAGGUCACAAAUCCCUUUGCCAAUGCUCACAUUGGAAGUUUUGUACAAAGCACACCAGCUAUAUCCAAACCUGAAGCCAGUACACUUCCCAUGCCCUGUUCUUUUAUUAAUCCUGACAUGACUGUAAAACAUGGACAUUUCCCAUUGCACCAGCCCUGUCCCUCAUCUCCAACACGUAAGAGCCGCUUUGCGUCCCGUCAGCCUCCUCUGUCGGACAGUGAUGAGGACUAUAACCCCAAAGAGAGAGUCCCCACUCUACGUCCCGGCCACUACGACGGGAGCACACCGUGGAGAGAGUUUCUGCACAGGUUUGAGAGCUGCGCAGAGGCAAAUCACUGGUCAGUCAAAACAAUGGCCAUUCAGCUGAAAUUCUGCCUCACCGGAGCUGCAGGCGCCAUCGUCCACAGAAACCCUCGUUCAUCCAAAUGGGACUACCGCCGCCUGCUGGAGGAACUCGAGACUGCUUAUGGCCCUUCUUCAGAUCAUGCAGCGGCUGUAGCAGUAGAGCUGAGGCAAAGAGUGCGUAAAUCUGGUGAGGCGCCUCAUGUGUUCAGAGAUGAUAUUUAUGGAAAAGUAGCUAUAGCUUAUGGUGAUUGGUCAGAGGCUGAGCAAGACGCUAUAGCUGUUGAAGUUUUCACAAACGACCUGGGUGAUGCAGAGCUAGUUCAAAGACUGUUAGAGAAACGUCCAGCUACACUAGCUAAAGCUUAC